CGCGGGAACAGCUCGGGCGCGGGCGCGAGGAGGCCCGGGGCCACGCGUGCGCAGAACGGCUCGGGGCGCGCGGGGAGGCCCGGAGCGCGCGUGCGCGAGUCGGCAAGCGCGCCUCCUCCCCGCCCCCACCCGGCCGAGAAGUCUGCACAAUGGCGGCGCCCGAGCCCCCGCCGCGUCCCGUCACCCACCUGCUCUUUGACAUGGACGGCCUCCUUCUGGACACCGAACGGCUCUACUCCCUGGUGUUCGAGGAAAUCUGUGGUCGCUAUGGGAAGAAAUACAGCUGGGAUGUGAAGUCCCUCGUUAUGGGCAAGAAGGCGCUGGAGGCGGCCCAGAUCAUAAUAGACGUCCUGCAGCUCCCGAUGUCCAAAGAAGAGCUGGUGGAUGAGAGCCAGGCGAGGCUGAAGGAGGUGUUCCCCACGGCCACGCUCUUGCCAGGUGUGGAGAAGCUGGUCCACCACCUGCGGAGGCACGGCGUGCCCUGCGCCGUGGCCACCAGCUCGGGGACCGCGUCCUUCCAGAUGAAGACCCGCAGACACGAGGACUUCUUCAGCCUGUUCGACCACGUCGUCUUGGGGGACGACCCCGAAGUGAAGAGUGGGAAACCGGAGCCGGACAUAUUCCUGGCGUGUGCCCGGAGGUUUUCGCCCACUCCCCCCGUGGAGAAGAAAAAACUUUGUGUUGCCUUGCCAGCUGAAGAUGGAAUUCGGCGUGAAGACUGUCUUGGGCUCCAUCAGGGGAAUCACUGAAAUGACAAAGGGCCCCUAGCAUCUCAUGAUGUACUGAGGGCCACAGUGCACUCUACGGAAUUGGUGUGAAAAAUAAAGAAGAUGGAUAGGGUUUUAUCCCUUGCUGGAAUGUUCUUGAAAACCCAUAGCUAUGGGGUUUUCCUAAAAAAAAUCCUUUAAGCAAGAUCUAAUUGCCCUCUACUGAGUGCGCCACCUACUGGAUGAAGACUCAUUGGUGAAGUAUCAUUUCAUGACAGCAUGGGACGCUGGCCCCAGACUCUGGGGUCCAGGCUGGUGGUGCUGGACCAUGUGGACAGUUCGUUUUGCCAGGACAGGCGAUCACCAGGCCCUGGAACCCAGAGAAUUUCCCAGAAGUUCUUGGCCACUGUCCCAUCAAGUCCAAGGUCACCAUAUUGCAAAAUGGCGGAGGAGAGGUUCAGAUUCUCACUAAGGAUCCUGUGUCUUUCCCAUUGUGCUGACUCUUGGCCAGGGGAAACUUGGUGUGGCCUGGCGGGAUAAGGGCCUCAGAAUUCUAGCCCCAGCUGAUGAAGAAUCUCCCUUCCUCCGGGUCAUCGAGGUACUGACUUGCAACCAACAUCACGUGAAAACUCCAAGCAGAGGCCCCAGGUCGCAACCCCUGUGCUGUCCUAGCUUGCGUGCUGCUGCGACUUUGUAAAUAGCUUUAUCUCCCUUGCCUCAGUGAUCAAGGUGUCCAACGGCACAAGCUCAGACCGCGACGGAAAAAAAUAAUAAUUUAUCCCAUGGCUGGGAUAAAUGCACUCUGCAGUCUCAAAUGUACCCCAUCGAUCAUUCUUCAAAGCAGAAACCAUGUGUGUCAACAGAGAAGCGGUCUUUAUUAUGGGGAACAAAUUCCACGAAUGUGUGUGCUAUUGAUUCUCGGUCACAGAUGCCCUUUUCCUAUUUGUGGGACAUCGACGUUCUGCACAAAGCCCUCUCUGUUUAGAUAAUUGCGCCUGACACUUCUGCACCUACAUCCCGAAGGCUCGAUGCUGAAGUUUCUACUCUCCUUACGUGAAGAGGGCAGCCCGCUGUCCCCACAAUGAGGUCUGGUUCUUCCUGCCAGUUCUCGGAGCGACUUGGAGAACAGAGAGCCGAUUUGCAGAGGGACCGCUUGGUGGAGAGGAACUUCCCGAGCCGUAAGGAGACCGGUCCCCUGUGGCUCCUCGGCCGAGUGGCUGUGUGAGGAGUGAAGACGGAGAAGCACACGUGCCACGCCGGUGACAGCAGCCCCAGCUCGCCCACCAGGACCAGGUCCCCAGAGCGGGCAGAGCACCCCAUUGUGAUGUCUGGACACCACCUGGGUUUCUACGGGCAACGGCUGCACCCGUUGUGAGGUCAGAGGACCACAGGAAGCCUUCGGCUUUGGGGCACAUGGGCUUGGGGCUGGAGAUCAGUGCUCCACCCAGUGAAGGUGGAAGCCCCCCCAAACUUGAAGCUGCACCGACAGCUGAAUGUUCCCAACGGCCUCUGAAAAGGACCACCACUGCCUUCCCCUGGACAGCACCUCCCCUCGUCCCGUGAGACGCGUAGCUGCCGGAAAUCCCACGGAAGAAUUGUGCGGACGUCCCAGGAAGCCCUGUCUCAGAAUCCCCCGAGCAAGCGCCUCUGAGCUCAAGGCUGGUAGACGAGGACACCAGCCUGGGAAAGGGCACAGGUGAGUGGGGGGCACUCCCUUCGGACAGAGGCCCAGGUAAGAGAGCAGAAGAGAAAGAGAGGGAAUGACCCCCCCACGUGGCUUCCUGUUGCUCUGUCGCUCCGUGCGGCCUCGCCCACGUGGAGGGCGCCGGCUGCCGGCCACUCUGGUUCCUCGGGGACCGGGCAUGCAGGCCGUCCCCUUGCCUCGCUUCCACUGCGCGACGCCGUCCUGUCCAAGGCGGCUGUCGCUCGGGUUCUGCAGGAGAGGCCAGAGCUGCGAUUGCAGGCUCCCUUGCGAAGCACGCGCUCCGCCCUCCUGGCCGGGGCCCUGCAGCUUGCGUCGGCCCAGUCGGAAGCCCGUGCGGACGGGCAGACACGCCGUUUAGAGAAAUACAGAUGCUUCCUGGGCUCCGCGAUGGGCUGCUAUUCUCAGAUGGCCGCGGGUGCAGGACAGGUCAGCACCCUUAAGCUGUUACCGGAGGGGCUUGUAGCCAUCGCUCCGUGAGCCCAGUCCAGUUGACAAGCACGCACGGAGAGACUUCCAGUGGUGGGAGGUUUGCAGGGAGUGGGGGACGCGAGAAAGCAGAACCGACAGACCCUGCUGUGCAGGAACCUCCGCUGAGGACACGGGGACGAGGUGAACGUGCGCUAAAAGGGCUCAAGCACCGUGCAGCUGAAACCCCGAACCCUGCGCUGGGGAUUCCACGGAAGAGCCCUGAGCUGUGACUUUUCACAGCGCUUACGAAGACUGACGGGUGGCACAGCUCCUGUGCUGCGAGGAGGGACAGCUUUCAUUGCACGGUGCGGAUCCUCUUGUGGGAUGGGGGAGCCUUGGCAUUCCAUAAGCUGACUGAGAAAAUAAAGGGGAGGUGAUGCAGGGAUGAAAAGUGCAGAUGACGGAGCAAGGGGCAUCUUUGGAGAAAUGACAGUGAGUCAGUUAGACAGACGCCAGUGCCGGGUGAGUCCCAAGGCUCGAGAACCAGGAACUGGACGGUUGUAAGUUGACGGUGUGACUCCCAGCGCGGUGGCGGUGAGGAGGGGUGUCACAGCUCACACACUCGGGCAGAGAGCAGGUUCAGCUCCCUCUUUGCUUCUGCUCUGGCUCUCAGUCGGUUGGAUGGCGCCCACCCAACCAGCUACCUGGGCACCUGUGGCCCCGUCAGGCUGACACUUCACAUUACACGUCCCCGUGGGCAGUCCCUGCCUGGGGGUUUGGUCCAUCCUCUCUGACCUGAGCGAUGCACCUUGCUGAAGAUUAAUUGACUGUAGGUGUGUG